rnacentral:rRNA from 2 species
UUUAAUGAGAGUUUGAUCCUGGCUCAGGACGAACGCUGGCGGCGUGCCUAAUACAUGCAAGUAGAACGCUGAGGUUUGGUGUUUACACUAGACUGAUGAGUUGCGAACGGGUGAGUAACGCGUAGGUAACCUGCCUCAUAGCGGGGGAUAACUAUUGGAAACGAUAGCUAAUACCGCAUAAGAGUAAUUAACACAUGUUGGUUAUUUAAAAGGAGCAAUUGCUUCACUGUGAGAUGGACCUGCGUUGUAUUAGCUAGUUGGUGAGGUAAAG